GGGAAUGUGGCUUAGUGGUAGAGCGCUUGCCUAGCAUGCAUGAAGCUCUGGGUUCGAUUCCUCAGUACCA
rnacentral:tRNA from 1 species